rnacentral:rRNA from 1 species
UACGUAGGGUGCGAGCGUUGUCCGGAAUUAUUGGGCGUAAAGAGCUUGUAGGCGGUCUGUCGUGUCUGCUGUGAAAAUCCGGGGCUCAACCCCGGACUUGCAGUGGGUACGGGCAGACUAGAGUGUGGUAGGGGAGACUGGAAUUCCUGGUGUAGCGGUGAAAUGCGCAGAUAUCAGGAGGAACACCGAUGGCGAAGGCAGGUCUCUGGGCCACUACUGACGCUGAGAAGCGAAAGCAUGGGGAGCGAACAGG